AGAGGCACCAACAAAAAAUUCCCCCAGUUUUUGUUUGGUGAAAUUUUUUUUCAUCUACCCAAAAUUCUGGAUUGCCGCCUACAAAACCCCAAAUUUUAGGUUAGAGCCAAAAUACUUAAAUUACUUAUUUUAUCAUUGGAAUGCCUAAAUCCUCUUAGUUCUGCAACAUCAACGCCACGAAUAGAAACAACAACUACCACGACGACGGCAACAACCACUUGCACGAUGGCAGCGCUAUUCCUUGGCUACAGCAACCGUUGUGACGACAUCGCCUCCUCUCUCACAAUCUAUUUCACACCACCCCAUCAUUUCUCUAUCGGUUUUGAGCUAAAGGGAAACUCAACUAAAAGGUUUCGAGUUCUUUUGUUUAUCAUUUCAUUUAAAUCUAUCGUUACUGAAUUGUUUACUGUGAAUACCUAUCUUUCAACUUGUAUCUCAAUUGGUGAUGUUGUUAGUUGUGCUUGGAUUUUUUUCUUUGGUUUGUGAUUGUGCUAGAAAUUAGUGAAGAUGUAUUUUUCCCUAUGAAAACAAAAAAAAACUUCUCGAAGCUAAAACAUAGUAUUAUAAUGCUAGAAUUGGAUUUCUAGAUGAUAAGGAACUAAUGAACUAAAUGUUAAUCUGUUGAAAAUUGUUUUUGUUAGUUUUAAGUUGCCAAAUAGAAUUAACUUGUUCUGAUGUAGUAAGUAAUGUUGCAUUUGAUGAGAAAAGGGCCUAAACGAGUUGGAGCCGCAUAUUAAUAAAAUAAUUAUGGAGCAUUAGUGCUUGGCACAUUUUUCUCCAUUCUGUUGCUCAUGGAUGUCUUAAAUAUUGUUUGAGAAUCCUAUAGCUUGCAUUUGUGGAAGAGAUGUAUCCUUUAUGUUUUUAGAUCUGACCUGUUUGAUUGUAAGAAAAAGUCUCGGUUAAUUGUUUACUGCAAAUUUGGAGUAUGGAGACCAGUAAAUCUUUUUUGUUUAGUUACAAUGCAAAUUAGGAUAGUAUACUGCUGUAAAUAGUAUUUGUUGUUGCCGGUUAUUAUUUUGCAAAUUGUGUGUACACAUGGUAGGGAAGUUUAUCUGGUUUUUCUCUUCUUUCCUUUUAUUUAAUCUACUACUUACUAGAACCCUUUGUUCACGAAAUGCAUUUGUACUAAACUAUUUACGUAAAGAAGCAACUUUUGAAGACAAUUUCCUCUACAUUUAUUUUCCACCCACAACACUUAAUAGUUAUCUCUCUAUUUGGCUUAAGUUGUGUUGGAUUGAAGACAUGAUAAUAAUUUAUGGCUAACAAUUUCUCAUAAUCAUCAUGAUACCACUUAGAUAAGUUACAUUAUGGCUGAUGAUUUCUAUUUGGCUUAAGUUGUGUUGGAUUGAAGACAUGAUAAUAAUUUAUGGCUAACAAUUUCUCAUAAUCAUCAUGAUACCACUUAGAUAAGUUAUAUUACGACUAAUGAUUUUUCUUUAUAAUUGUGCAUGGUUAUUAUGUUGUACGAUGUUAUGUUGAAAUAAGAGUUAUUCUAGUUGCAAUUGAGGUGCUGAACUACCAUCCAUUGGUUGAGGUGAAGAUUUAAAAUUUAUUUGCCGUUGAAGAGAGAGUUUUGGCAAUUAAAUGGAUAUUUAAUUUUGUUGUUGUUGAGAUUGUUAUAUAAAACUUUGUAAGCCUAUUAUUUUGUCAGUAAGACACUUCUUGUAUUAUUAGUAAAUACUCUAAAGUUAAUAUGAUUUAGCUAUUUUGAUAUG